AGCCCUCACCUGCAGCAGGGGAGGAAAAAGCUGUUCCCCCCCACCCCGGUAAGGAAGCACCAAGGCUUGUGGGCUUCUCAUCUCAGUCCAAGGGAAGUCAGGUGGCCACUGUGCGGUGGGCAGGGGCCAGGCUACUGCUGCCUUCCCAGCCUCGGCCCCCGCUUCUCCCAGCUAAAGCUUCACCACACUGAUUUACGACUCCCUUCGAGUGCCUGGGAUGGAGUUAUAGCCCCUUGUAUUACACGGUGCCUUCUCUGUUAUUCUUACUGCACGCCACAGAUUUAUGACGGUUUUUAAGCCAGGCAGCACGUAAAGAAAUAUGAUCUUAACAAAAUAUAGAAGGCACCAAAGGAGGUCAAAGUGUGGGAGCUGAACAUUAUACGGUGAUCCAGGAUUUCCUUUUAUUUACUGCUCACACCUUUUCAAUCCCCAGUGGAUUUCAGCUGUCUCAGGCGACCCUACCCAAUGGCUGGGGAGGAGUCUGUAAUCCACCCAGCCGAGAUGCUUUGCCAGCAGCGGAUGUCUUUUAUUACAAUUUAGCACACGUAUGAAAUCCCAAAAUACUGUUGGUGAAUUAAAUGAAUUUUAGACACAGAGUGCCGGAAAGAUGCAUAGCAUCGGGGUAGGUAGGAGUCCCACAUUCAUCUGAACAGGCUUUCUAUCUCCUGCCAUCUCUUACUGUGGCACCGACUGAUGCUUUUCUACGUUAAUGGUGUCCUGCAGAGCUCCUCUGCUUUUGGUGCUGAAGGAGAACAAUUUGUGAUAGUUUUUCAUAGAGAAGUGGAGCAAAAGCUAUGCUGGAUUUCAACAAUACAAUGGUGUGAUGAUGAAAGUAAUGCUGUAAGUAAUUCUGCUUUAUAGCAUUAUUUAUGUACAUUCAUCAAUUAUUCCAAAACUGUAGCACAUAGGAAAAAUACAGGCACUGCCCUUACUCUGCAGAUGGGUAAUGCGGGACCUCGCAGCACAGGCGGGGUGACACCAGCACAAGGCAGAGCUGCACAGAGUCACCUGCAGGACCACGGCCUGCAUUAAACACUCCACGUCAAGAUGCAAAGCGAAACAGCUGGCAAGAGGGAUGAAAGCUGUAAUUACAGCCAACCCAUGACUCCUGAGCCAGCACCUACUGCUGAGCCCCUGGUCUUGAAACAGAAGCCUGGAACAGGAGCUUUUUCCCUCUUAGGUGUAGUGCCUCAAAGCCUGGGGCUUUUCCCUAGAAGGUCGUGGCUGUGGAUCUUCUCGCGAGAUACAUGGUCCCCUCCAAAAUGGCAUGCAAAGAAGGGUUCAGUAUCGAAUUAUUUCCAUGAGGUUUCCAGAAGUGAAUGGAGCAUUUCAGGCACGGUUUCACUAAAGACAGACAGGUCUAGCUGCACACAGGUCUGUCAUGUGCAAUUUUGUUUACUUCUGUCUGUUUGCUAACCUCCAACUUCAGUGAGUCACGGUAUUUUUACUACCAUGCUAUCCAUUCCAUAGGCUUUAACACACCCCUCCACUUAAUUAUUAACAAGGUCCAAAGGUAUCCACCCCUCUCCCACACAGAUCUUCCAGCUAAACACAGCUCCGAAACCUCUUCUUAUUUAAAAUUGUUCUUGACGGUUUGGAUAAAUACAGUGUUAGUAGUUGAUGCUUUCGUGUUACUGAAAUGACGUCCUUCCCCAGUUCUCCAAGCUCAGAAGGCUUUCAAUGUUGCGGCUCCUGCUGCUGCUUACAUUCCUCGUGUCCAAACAACCGGGACUUGCCCGUGCUCCAGUCCUACAGACAUCUUCUGGCUUUGCUCCUCAUGAUCCAGUUGAAAAUCACCUCCUUUUCCAGGAUUCCUUAUAGCCGCCUUCUAACUAAAAUAAGCCCUUUGCUCUCUUCCCUUAUCCCUCAGAUCACCUGCUACAGUCAUCUUCUCUGUUUCUUCGGUCAGGCUUGACUGUGGUUUGAUGCCGGCCUGAUUUCAGAGUGGAAUAGGUCCCCUGAUCUGGUUCACAGCACAGCCCUGCAAAGAGAUGGAGUUGGGAAAACUGAGGAGUGGUGCAGUAUUGUGUGAGGACAAAAAAGGUGGAACCGGAUGUUGGGAUGUUUCUGAGGCCACAGGAUCAGAAAACUGUUGCUUUUCAGCCACCAACCUGAGAUGAGCCUUCCCUCAAUUUAUAGCAAGUAACAAGGUAGUUAAUAUGUCUUAUAGCAUAGUAAAUCUGCACGUUUUCAAAUCUCAUUUCACAUUCUUCUUCUGUUUACUUUCUGUGUUAUUUAAUGUCCUGUUUGCAAAUUAUUUUAUCAAACACUUUAAACAAUUUUAAAAGUACAGUCUUGCUUUUAAAAAAAAUCUAUCUAGGACGUAGUUACGAGCAGUUCCUAUUCAUGCAGCAAAGCUGACCAGUGUAAAGAAGAGUGAGAAAUACUUGAACGAGAACACGGACAGUCAAAGCAUGAAGGAAAAACUGAUACCUGCAAAGGACCAGCCCAACUGUACGUGUGUUGCUUUUGUUUGAAAAUCUGACUUGUAGAUAUGCAAUGGUUGGGCAAAGAGCCCAGAAAUGAAAUACAUGAUUGUUCUUCAUACAAGGCAAUUCUAGCAUGUGCUCAGUAUAUCGAUUGUGAAUGCUGGAAAAGACUGGGUGUAGCACAGUGAGUGUUAGUCAUGGCCUGGAAGCGGGGUAGGAAAACAAUUUAAGCUGAAUAGUUACUCAGCUAAUUGCUUUGAGUAAGCCUCAGAUUUACACGCCCUAGAACCCAAACUCAGAAUUGUUACUUGAUAGUAUGAGACAAAUACCCUUUCUCCAGGGGAGGAAAAAGAAUCUUAGGGGCUUUCUAAAACUGCAUUUGCAGUAGUACAAGCGAACAGGAAAAAAAACUGCUCACAUUAAGGCUCUGGGAGGACUGCAGAAGUGUCAUUAGAUGAGCUCUAGAAAAUGCACUGGAGUGGAUACAAAGUACCAGAGCUACCAGGUGGGUAUCCUACCUGCUCACCGUGUGCUACCACUCUGAAAGCAGCACACAACCUGUACUUUCCCUUUAAAUGCCUCAGGGAAAAAAAAAAAAAAAUCCACAAGACAAAACAGUUUAGCUUUAAACUCACCUUCAAAAGCCACCGGACUUUGCACCAAAACAAAUAUACAUGCACGUGAUUCACACUGACUCUCCUUGAAUAACACAACUUUUAAAAUCACCGCAUCUGCUUGCUAAAUAAACGUGCUCACACCUUUGGUGCAUGAAGAACUUGGUCUGAAGUGUAGAUACUUAGUAUGGAGGCAAAAAUAAGUUCCAACUUGGACUGAAUUAUUUAUAAAGAGAUUGGAUCACGGCAAGCUGACAUUUACAUUGUAAUUCCUUCUUGAAAUCUGCAUCAAACAUGAGCAAAGGUGCAGAAACUACUGAAGCUUAGACUAAGGCUACAUCUGAAGCCAGACAAGAAUAAAUAAGUAUUGAUUGAAGUACGCUGGGAGAAUUUACCAGUUACAGCGUAAACUAAUCUAGGCACGCAAGGGAGAACAUACGUGCUGCAGAAGUAUAUAGGUGGACACAUUUUGAAGAAAACCAAGCAGAAGGUGCUAAUAAUUGCAUUAAGAAACAUAUUCCACCAUACAUUCUUUCUUGCUUUUUUGUUCCAGUAUGUUUUGCUAAUAUACAAACUCUUCAGGGAAAGGGCAGAUUUUCUGCAUGAUUGUUAAAGGACAGUAGGGAGAGCACAGGGUAUUACAGAAAAGAAGGGCUGGGAAUUGGAAGCAGCUGUCAGAGAGGGGUAUGGAGCCGAUGUAAAUAAUAAAGAGGCUUGAGAGGGACAGUAAAAGAUAGCUUUAGCUGUAGAGGGGGAAGAAUGGAGGCCAGAAAAGAUGUUGCAAUAGUCAACUAAUGAGUAAAAUAUGAAUCACAGUUACAGUGGCGAUGACAGGGAGAGAUUUUAAAGAUGUCGCCCAGGAAGAGAAUCUCAGUGAGACAGAUAAAACACCGAAUGUGAAACUGAGAUUGGGGAAAAAGGGGCAACAAAGACUUCAUUUAGCCAACAGAGCAGAAGUAGGAAGAAGUGAGAAGCCUGGAUAGGGCAAGAAACUCUUUCUUUGAAACAGGAAAUAUUCCAAGAGUAUUCAGUAGAAAUACUAUUUCAAUAGAAAUACAGGGAUCUAUAAAUUAAAAUGCAUUGAUUAAAUUAAGAAUUAAUUAAAUUAAGAUUACAUCUAUUUCCAAGGAUAAUCGGAAAAAAACUUACAUGUGGGAGGAAACUGCUACCCCUUCAGCGACACAUCAUGGCAAGUACCACGUGCAUCAAAGGAAGGGGCAAAAAAGCCCAGUAACAGAACAAUAAAACUUCUCCCUAGAUCAAGACACUGAGCAGUGAAUUGUUUCCUAAAAUUGUGUAAUUUUAUUAUACUAAAUCUAAGUGAUGUAUUAGUGGUCCUCAGAGACAAUAAAACCAUAAAUAAAUCUGCUAAAUCCUGCCGUAUCUGGUAAUACAGUGUCCAGUACAAAAAGAAAUGUAUAAACAUGGAACCUUACACUUGAGGAGGAAACAAUUCAGAUGAGAAGGUAGGGGGGGAUCUGGAAAAGAACAGCACAGUUGAGUUUUAAGAAGAACUGCUUAUUCCCAUAAACUGUUUUCAAGUUGGUAUCUUCCCCUGUGGUUUCUUCACAUCCUGCAGAAGGCUCAAGCGUGGGCUUCCCUUCAGGAAAAUCUUGGGGGGGUACUGUUUUCCCCCUCUCUUUAAGGUCACCCUUAAUGUGUGCAUCCUGCAUUCCUGUAAGAAAGGUGCUUGCUCACUGCUAAUAGUUUUUCUUUAAAGAAGAACGUUUUUUAUUAAAACGGAGAAAUGAAACAGACUGAAAUUAAUAACAAGGGGGAGGGAGAGAAUUUUCACAUUAAAAAAAUGCUAAUUCAACAAUUGCUGCCAAUAAUGUAGCUAUCCAUAGUGAUGAUGACAGCACCGGCAUAAAAAGAAUAUGAGUUACUAGAAAAAUUGUAAACAUUUUAGGCUAAGAAGGGUUAAUUGAUAAGUUUAAAGCACCAUCACCUGACAUGCAACUGUUCUUAGUCUUUUUGACACAGGAAGAGACAAAUGGACAUGUGGAAUGUUUGAUCUUGACACUCUGACAAAAAAUGAAUUAUUUCACUCCUAAGUAAAGAGUAAUGAGCAAAGUCACUUUCAAAUAUGGAUAUACACGAUGAUCUGAAUAACCGAGUCCAUACCUUACAUUGAUGGGAUGGCAUGGUAAACAUCUCUAACAAAAAUGAAAUGUAAGUAAGAACUUUAAUCACUAAUUUUGUUGGGAAAUAAAAUCUCAGACUAGAUUUAAAAAAAAACCAAUACCCAAAGUCUAAAUAGUUUUUUGGAACAUUAGACUUGUGUGAACCUGUAACUUGCAUCCUGGUUCCAUCCAAGACUUGUCAUAUUAAAAUGAGGCAGAUGAGCCUCAUAUGAUUUAUUUUAAAAUGUUUUAUCACCUUUAGUCUUAGAGCUUUGUUCUAAUCCGGCAGAGACGUGCAUCUGAAAACAACCAACCCUCAAAACCAACCUGCCCUAAAACCAACAACACAGCAAAGUAGCACAGACGUUUCUGUAACAAGACUGCUAUGCUGGGACAAAGCUUCAUAAUGAAAGGUCAGAACAGAUAAAUCUCACAGGUCCCCUCUGCUUCACCAAUUUGCUUGGUUGUUGGUUGUUUUUUUUUAAGGGGCUUGAUCUGAUGAGAGAGAACUGCACUUUUAAUAAUAAUUUGCAUAGUGUGUAUGCAUGUAACCCACGUAUUAACUUAAAUAAAUCAGAUGUAGUCAUGUCUUGUUCAUUAUCACAUGGGACUUUUGUCUUUGAUUUAUUUUGACCGAGCACAAAUGGGCA